GUCUGAAUAACAACCCCCUUCUCUCCCCAGCCACUGUCUUUGGGCGGUGUGGGAACCAGAGUGCUCUACUUCCUGUACACGUGAGCAACCUCUUCGUCUUUUACAGGUGCUGUGGUUAUGGUGUUCAAGAUUAUGCCAAGAUGUAUGCAGUGCUAGGAAUCAAAUCCAAGAUUUUACGCACAUUAAACAAGCAUUCUG